rnacentral:rRNA from 1 species
UACGUAGGCAGCGAGCGUUGUUCGGAGUUACUGGGCGUAAAGGGUGUGUAGGCGGUUGUUUAAGUUUGGUGUGAAAUCUCCCGGCUCAACUGGGAGGGUGCGCCGAAUACUGAAUGACUUGGAGUGCGGGAGAGGAGAGUGGAAUUCCUGGUGUAGCGGUGAAAUGCGUAGAUAUCAGGAGGAACACCGGUGGUGUAGACGGCUCUCUGGACCGUAACUGACGCUGAGACACGAAAAGUGUGGGGGAGCAAACAGG